rnacentral:rRNA from 1 species
CCUACGGGAGGCAACAGUGGGGAAUAUUGCACAAUGGGGGUAACCCUGAUGCAGCAACGCCGCGUGAGUGAAGAAGGUUUUCGGAUUGUAAAGCUCUGUUAGCAGGGAAGAAUAAUGACGGUAGCUACAGAGCAAGCCACGGCUAACUACGUGCCAGCAGCCGCGGUAAUACGUAGGUGGCAAGCGUUGUUCGGAAUAACUGGGCGUAAAGGAUGCGUAGGCGGUAAAACAAGUUAUCUGUUAAAUAUACAGGCUUAACCUGUAGAAUGCAUAUAAAACUGUUUAACUAGAGUGCAGGAGAGGUAAGUGGAAUUCCUAGUGUAGCGGUGAAAUGCGUAGAGAUUCGGAAGAACACCAGUGGCGAAGGCGACUAACUGGACUGUAACUGACGCUGAGGCAUGAGAGCAUGGGGAGCAAACAGGAUUAGAUACCCUGGUAGUC